UCUGUAUGUUCUGCUCCAUUACUGAAGGUUGGAGGAACAUACAUUGAGUUGUGACUCUUCAUUGACACCCAGCUGGGUUCUGCUCUAUUACUGAAGGUUGGAGGAACAUACAUUGAGUUGUGGCUCUUCAUUGACACCCAGCUGGGCUGUAGAGGUUCUGCUCCAUUACUGAAGUUUGGAGGAUCAUACAUUGAGUUGUGGCUCUUCAUUGACACCCAGCUGGGUUCUGCUCCAUUACUGAAGUUUGGAGGAUCAUACAUUGAGUUGUGGCUCUUCAUUGACACCCAGCUGGGUUCUGCUCCAUUACUGAAGUUUGGAGGAUCAUACAUUGAGUUAUGGCUCUUCAUUGACACCCAGCUGGGCUGUAGACAUUCUGCUCCAUUACUGAAGUUUGGAGGAUCAUACAUUGAGUUAUGGCUCUUCAUUGACACCCAGCUGGGCUGUGGAGGUUCUGCUCUAUUAC